rnacentral:rRNA from 1 species
GAGUUUGAUCCUGGCUCAGAACGAACGCUGGCGGCAGGCCUAACACAUGCAAGUCGAGCGCCCCGCAAGGGGAGCGGCGGACGGGUGAGUAACACGUGGGAAUUUUCCUCAAGGUACGGAACAACUCAGGGAAACUUGGGCUAAUACCGUAUGAUGCAGAGAUGCCAAAGAUUUAUCGCCUUGGGAUAAGCCCGCGUCAGAUUAGGUAGUUGGUGGGGUAAUGGCCUACCAAGCCUGUGAUCUGUAGCUGGUCUGAGAGGACGAUCAGCCACAUUGGGACUGAGACACGGCCCAAACUCCUACGGGAGGCAGCAGUGGGGAAUCUUGCGCAAUGGACGAAAGUCUGACGCAGCCAUGCCGCGUGAAUGAUGAAGGUCUUAGGAUUGUAAAGUUCUUUAGCCUGUGACGAUGAUGACGGUAACAGGAGAAUAAGCCCCGGCUAACUUCGUGCCAGCAGCCGCGGUAAUACGAAGGGGGCUAGCGUUGUUCGGAAUUACUGGGCGUAAAGCGCGCGUAGGCGGUUUUGUAAGCCAGACGUGAAAUCCCCGGGCUUAACCUGGGAAUGGCGUUUGGGACUGCAAGGCUCGAGUAUGGCAGAGGGGACUAGAAUUCCUGGUGUAGCAGUGAAAUGCGUAGAUAUCAGGAGGAAUACCGAUGGCGAAGGCAGGUCCCUGGGUUAAUACUGACGCUCAUGCACGAAAGCGUGGGGAGCAAACAGGAUUAGAUACCCUGGUAGUC